CUAUGAUCUGAAGUCAAGUGGGACUACC
rnacentral:rRNA from 1 species